CGGGGCGCUCAGACCCGCCGUGUCCCCCAGGCGCUGAGCUGCCCCUUGCGAGCGCUUUGUUGUCCCCGCCUAGCGCACAAUGAACUCUCUGCUCCUCCCCCUGCUCCUCCUGGCUCUGGCCCCGGGUGUCCUGUCCCAGCUCCGGCUCCAGGAGUCCGGCCCCGGGGUGGUGAAGCCCGGAGAGACCCUCACGCUCACCUGCACCGUCACCGGGGGCACCGUCACCAGCAGCUACUACUGGGACUGGGUACGGCAGGCUCCGGGCCAAGGGCUGGAGUGGAUGGGAUACUGGACCGGGGGCACAAGCUACAACCCGUCUCUCCAAGGCCGAAUCACCAUCACCGUGGAUUCUUCCAACACCAAGUAUUAUCUGCGGCUGGGCUCGCUGACAGCUGCAGACACCGGCACCUAUUACUGCGCCAGACACAGUGACCCGGAGCACAGCAGGGACCUGUACAAAAAGGGGAAGCGGAUUCAAAGCAGAGCAGAGAGGCCAGUUCAGCAGGGAGUGCUGAGUGCAGACCCGUCCCCUGCACACACACGGACCCUGGCAGCCGCUGGUCAGUCUCCGGGGCGGAACCAGCCUUCCUCUCCCUGCAGCGGCGGUUCCGUCCUCAUCCGGCCCUCCCGGGAGAGACCCACAGCUCGGGACAUCUCCUGGGCAUGGUCUGGAUCCAUGGCAGGUGCCCGGCGCGUGCUGGAGUAG